UACGUAGGGUGCAAGCGUUAUCCGGAAUUAUUGGGCGUAAAGAGCUCGUAGGCGGUUUGGCGCGUCUGCUGUGAAAACUGGAGGCUCAACCUCCAGCCUGCAGUGGGUACGGGCAAACUAGAGUGCGGUAGGGGAGAUUGGAAUUCCUGGUGUAGCGGUGGAAUGCGCAGAUAUCAGGAGGAACACCGAUGGCGAAGGCAGAUCUCUGGGCCGUAACUGACGCUGAUGCACGAAAGCGUGGGGAGCAAACAGG
rnacentral:rRNA from 1 species